UACGUAGGGUGCAAGCGUUGUCCGGAAUUAUUGGGCGUAAAGAGCUCGUAGGCGGUCUGUCACGUCUGCUGUGAAAACUCGGGGCUUAACCCCGGGCCUGCAGUGGGUACGGGCAGACUAGAGUGCGGUAGGGGAGACUGGAAUUCCUGGUGUAGCGGUGAAAUGCGCAGAUAUCAGGAGGAACACCGAUGGCGAAGGCAGGUCUCUGGGCCAUAACUGACGCUGAGAAGCGAAAGCAUGGGGAGCGAACAGG
rnacentral:rRNA from 1 species